rnacentral:rRNA from 1 species
AGAACGAACGCUGGCGGCAGGCUUAACACAUGCAAGUCGAACGCUCGUAGCAAUACGGGAGUGGCAGACGGGUGAGUAACGCGUGGGAACAUACCCUCCGGUUCGGAAUAGCUCAGGGAAACUUGGAUUAAUACCGGAUACGGCUGAGAGGCGAAAGAUUUAUCGCCGGAGGAUUGGCCCGCGUUCGAUUAGCUUGUUGGUGAGGUAACGGCUCACCAAGGCGAUGAUCGAUAGCUGGUCUGAGAGGAUGAUCAGCCACAUUGGGACUGAGACACGGCCCAAACUCCUACGGGAGGCAGCAGUGGGGAAUAUUGGACAAUGGGCGCAAGCCUGAUCCAGCCAUGCCGCGUGAGUGAUGACGGCCUUAGGGUUGUAAACCGCUUUCACCAGGGACGAAGCGGAAGUGACGGUACCUGGGGAAGAAGCGCCGGCUAACUACGUGCCAGCAGCCGC